GGUUAAUAUGUGCAGUAUAUAUUCAUCCGUGUGCAGGUCAGAACUACAGUUUCACUGAGACUUUUGCUGUUUUGUCUGUUUUCACGAAGACGGUACAUUUCCAGCAUGAAACAGUCCAAACUAUCCACUGGGAAGCGCCUUACAAAACCGAUUCUUUUUGGGACACUGCUCGUAGGUUUGGCCACAGCAUUUCUGAAUAGGCAUUUGUUCAUGGAGGACCUGGCAGAUAUCAGGGAGCAGGAGCGAUCCCGUAAUGAGGCCAAACGGCUGGAGGUGCUGGAAAGGAGGCAGAGACAAAUAGAUGAAGUUAUAGAGAAGAAGAGUGUGGGGGGCAGGUGAGAUGAUGACUGCACUCCCUCAACCGAGACCUGCAGGAAACAAGCACUGAUGAGGACAAUGUGGGACAUUUUGUGAAGUGCCAUAAAGUGCCUUCUUUGAUCGUUCUGUCAUUGCUAAAAUGGGACAGAAGUUGCAUUGAAAGUCUACGGGCGAUAUAGAAUUUAGCUAUUAGCUGUUUUGUUGGCAAUGAUGAUUUAAAUUGGUUGCCUUGAUCAUAUUUAAAAUAUUGCAACAGUUGGCUUUGCAAGAUGACUUUACAUCACAAAUGUAAGAAGCAAAUGGUGUAAAUAAGUAAUAGACCACAGUGGGCCAAACAGAUGUAUGUUCCUCAUUCCUGCCACUGAAAAAAAAAAUCUGCUUGAAUUGUAUAAACAUAUAUAACAUUUUUAUGUACUAUUCAAACUAAAAAUCGAUUUCACCAAAAAAAAAAAAAGCUUACAUAAAUAAAUCUGGAUAAAUAAAAAGCUGUUGCACUGUG